AUGAACGCUAGCGACAGGCCUAACACAUGCAAGUCGAGGGGCAGCACAAGGAGCAAUCUGAGGUGGCGACCGGCGCACGGGUGAGUAACACGUAUGCAACCUGCCUGUAAGCGGGGAAUAACCCGUUGAAAGACGGACUAAUACCGCAUAAAACUGGGAAUCUGCAUGGAUAUUCAGUUAAACAUUUAUGGCUUACAGAUGGGCAUGCGCAUGAUUAGAUAGUUGGAGAGGUAACGGCUCCCCAAGUCAACGAUCAUUAGGGGUUCUGAGAGGAAGGUCCCCCACACUGGUACUGAGACACGGACCAGACUCCUACGGGAGGCAGCAGUGAGGAAUAUUGGUCAAUGGGCGAGAGCCUGAACCAGCCAAGUCGCGUGCAGGAAGAAUGUCCUAUGGAUUGUAAACUGCUUUUGCAGGGGAAUAAAGUGCGGCACGUGUGCCGUUUUGUAUGUACUCUGCGAAUAAGGAUCGGCUAACUCCGUG
rnacentral:rRNA from 1 species